GGAAAGGCGGAAUUCGGAAUUCGAUUAAUCUCGCAAUUGUUUAGCCAACUAUGUUGAUCUUUGGCCAGUUUCGGUUCAACUGGCACAUAAAAUCGAACUGCCACUGCCUCGAGUCAACAACUCUCAGCAUGUGUAAAUCGUUGUGGGCCGAACAGAGUUGUCAGCUUAGCUACCAGUUGAUUUGGCUAGAAAUUAAAGUUUAGUUAAGAAACUACAAACUGAUUGUUUGAUCCCACAGUAAGCAGUCAACAGCGUAUCUAUUACGAUCAAUCUGUGGAAGAUCUAUGAUACAACUGCUAUAACUAUCUAUCAAAUUAGCGAAUUAAUAAUGGCCUUUUGAAGACCCGGCAUCACUGAUGAACACAUUCCGAGAAGUCAUGAGGUGAGUCGCAGGUUUCUUGACGUUUUUUGCCCACCGCAAUUGAAUAACAAUUUAAUUCAGUUUCCAUUUCAGAGCUAAGCUCUGUGCCGAGAUCCGAUCUGGUUCGUGCCGCAGCUGCACUUGGCUGCGAUUCAUCUCGGUGGCCCGCGCGUUGCACUUCCAAUUUGGGAGGCAUCAAUCAUCAAGUAUACGCCCUGUGCCCCACACCAGCCCCCUAGAAGCCCAGUAAGCGGAAAUGCCAGACAGCCAACGCUCCAGCGAAACCCCUAUAUAUAGUAUUUCUAUAAAAAUAUUCUUGUGUAGCACUGCACUGCAUGUAUGAUUUAUAUAUGCUGGCAUAAUUGAGCAAGCCAACAUGCGCAACAACAAUACGUUACGAAUUGUAACGAAAAAUUAUAAAUUUAUAGAAAUGAAGCUGGGGGCAGUGGGUGAGAGUUGGAUUCAACAAUUGUUGGGCUUUGUGUGGACCGCCCACGGCAAUAAGUUGAAAUCCCUCAUUAUUUCAAGGGACCUCAGGUUUUUCUUCUAUUCCCUAAAAUGGAGUAUCUCAGCUUGUACACCAGUAUUUAUGGAUUUCGGUGGAAAUAACGAUAUUUAUCAUAUUAAGAAUCAAAUGAAAUAGCUACUAGCUGAUCGCAGAGUAUUCGCACUUCGAUGAAUCGAAAUCAGUUCAACGACUGCUCACUUUAUUGUGGUUUCAUAUGUCAAAACGCCAAUUGUCCAAGCUGCUGUUAAGUUGUCAAAAAUCUUUUCGAUAUAACAAUGAGCAAACAGCAGCUUCGGAAGAUUAAAUUAAUUUUUCGAGGGCUCAUAAUUUGACUCGACUUGAAGUACAGGUGGUGUGGUACAUUAUUUGGAGUGUAUGUGGGCAGAGCUUAAAAAAGUGGUAGCCACCUUCAAGCCGAAGUUGAUCAGGCCUUUGGAUGCUGAUGCAAUCGUAAUUGUUAACAUUUGGCCAUUGAAUUUGACAGGAUUUCACCAGGAAUAUAGGGUUACAAGUGCCAAUCAGUACUCAAAUGAGAAAACCCAUAUAAUGCUGCACUACUUAAGUAUGAUAGGGCUUUUGUUCAUUAAGUUACCUUCUUUUAUUUUUUUUAAUAAUAUCACAAUGUUUCACUUAUAUUAUUAUUGUUGGCAAAGAUCUUAUAGAUUUGCUUCUCACAUUCACAGACUUGGUUUAUUGGUGGUAUAACACCAUGGAUCUGAGGAUCCAACCAAAUGAAUAGAGCCAGUGCAGAGAGCACCGCCCGAGAGUCCUGUACGAAAACUAAUGAACUCAAUUUACCAGAACUGGGGCUAUUUAUACCGGAAAAGCCAUCCAUAUAAUGCCCAAGGGCUGACCAAUCGGAAGCUAUAGGAUCGGUAUAUAGACAGCGGAAAUCGUCGGCCAAUAGAAAUCGUACAAAUCAAGUGACAAUACCGAAAACGGGGGAAGUUACCGCUUUUGGACACCGGAUGCUAGGCAACCAGGAUAAUUGUACUGGACUGACCAUAACAGAAGCUCUAUACGGACCAUAGGAUAGAUAAGUUCCUAUGUACGAAAUGGGGGCGCAUACCCUAUAUACGGAUACAAAAUAUUGGUAUCAUGGGAGGAAAGUGCAGUUUUCUAUUGGAACUUUACAUAUGUGAGAUAUGGAUUCAUUAUAUAAAUUUGGGGUCUCCUCUGCUACCCCAAUCGCAAGGUAUUUAUACAUAUAUCACAUAUACCCCACAAAUUGUAUAGUAAUUUUCUAAGCAUGUGUUGGUGGAGGACUGGGUAUUGGAUUUUAAGUUCGACAUUAGUCUAAUAACCAGGGGUUUUAAAUGGCACAAAGGGGACUGCAGUUUUCUUGCAGCUAUAAGCGCCUUUGCCUUUUCGAGGGAACUUCAGCUGAUGUUUUCACAUUAUGCAUAUUUUAAGGGCUGAAUAAACGGAUCAUCGGUGGAGUGAGCUGAGCCGGCGAAGUUGAGGCAAUUGGAGGCGGAACCCGUUUGUCUAAGAUAGCAAAUCGUUUAACUAUUGAUAGAGCAAUCGCCAUAUAGGGUCCAGUCCCUCGACUAAAUGCCUGUGAAAUGCAACAAAUUGCGCUGACCUGGACAAAUAUCAUUAAGGGGGGGCUAUCGCUACGAUGACGUGGCAUUCGACGGGGCCUUCAAUGCACUUUGCAUGUGCAUCUGAUGGACAUGGUUUAUUCAGGCAAAUUGCAAUAAUUUCAAAACUCCAGUCCUUGCAAGAUGAACCCAUGUGCCACACAACAAAAUGGGGCCACCCAGAGUAAUAACCAAUGAAGCACUGGGAGUAUUAACAGCCGUUCCCAACGGGUUGGCAAACUAAUUAUAGGGUAAUUCCUAUGACAGACCACUUGGACCGCACCAUUUACAAUUGGAAUCCCUUAGACCGGAAGAGCAAUCUAAAAAUGGAAAAAGAAUCGAAGAUUGCUUCCGUUUUUAUCAGAACCUUUUGACUGCAGUCUGCGUGAUUGUGUGGUUAGACUGGCGAUAGAAGAACAUUUUCAGCCAGAAAUUUGCCACCAAGCAGCCUCCCAGGAGCAGAGGCGAAUUGCAAUGGACGAACAGGAGGAGCUGAACGGUGAAAGUUAGCAGGCUGCUCGCAUUCCUGAAAGUGACAUAAAUGACAGGUACACAAUUAUGUGAAAAUCAUUUGAUUGCUGUCCACAUCCUGUUCAAAUAGCUUUUGACAGCGCACACGCGUCCAGGAAAACCAACCCACACCCACAAGCCACCCUUGCUCGCCAUCCACCGCCCAGAAUGCCACCCAACAGCGACACCACAAUAAGCGACAAUAAUUUAAGUUGCCCGGCCAGGCCAAUACACUAAUACGCAGGUGGGCUGGCUGACCACAAAAACGCAAACACAGCACAGCAGCUACAAUGGCAGGAAGAUAAAGGCACAAGGGGAACCGCUGGCGAGUUUAUGUCCAGCGAGACGUGGCAAGCCACACGAAAACGCGGUUUGCGGCUGCCCACCGAAAUGCAAAAAAACAAAAGCCGGGAAAGGUUAAUUUCAGCUAAGAGUAAAGUGUAUACCCUGCUCCAUAUGCUCAACUGAUCAUUGUAACCCAACAAAAAGGAGAGCUGUGUGUAUACAAUCAAAUAAAGGGCGUUGUAUCUAGCUUGUCAUUUAUCGUGUCAUCAAAAUAAAUUACUCACAAGGUUGAAUGUUUUAAAAUGAUCAGAUCCCGAAAAAUCCAUAGCAUUGAUGUGCCCUUUUAAAAUGAUCAGAUCCCGAAAAAUCCAUAACAUUGAUGUGCCCUUUUGCGUCAUUAGGCAUAGCAUUAUUAAACAAAAAGUGUAACAAAAAGUGUAACAAAAAGUGUAGCAACUUUUUAAUUAAUUUUCUACAGUUUUAUUUACAAAUGAAUGAGUUACUGUAUAGUUUAGAAUAUAUUCGAGCGAGCAGUCAAUAUAAAUAUAUGAUAGGUAAUAGUUAAUUUGAAGGAA